rnacentral:rRNA from 1 species
UACGUAGGGUGCGAGCGUUGUCCGGAAUUAUUGGGCGUAAAGAGCUCGUAGGCGGUUUGUCGCGUCGAAUGUGAAAACCCGGGGCUCAACUCCGGGCCUGCAUUCGAUACGGGCAGACUAGAGUUCGGUAGGGGAGACUGGAAUUCCUGGUGUAGCGGUGAAAUGCGCAGAUAUCAGGAGGAACACCGGUGGCGAAGGCGGGUCUCUGGGCCGAUACUGACGCUGAGGAGCGAAAGCGUGGGGAGCGAACAGG